GAAUCUUGGUCAAUGGGCGCAAGCCUGAACCAGCGACGCCGCGUGAGUGAUGAAGGCCUUCGGGUUGUAAAGCUCUGUGGGGCGAGACGAAAGCGUCGGUUCUAACAGGACCGACUUUGACGGUAGCGCCUUAGCAAGCACCGGCUAACCUCGUGGCAGCCGCCGCGGUAAGACAGAGGGUGCAAACGUUGCUCGGAAUCACUGGGCGUAAAGGGCGUGUAGGCGGGAAGCUAAGUCAGGUGUGAAAUCCCCAGGCUCAACCUGGGAACUGCACUUGAAACUGUCUUUCUUGAGUGUCGGAGAGGAAAGUGGAAUUCCUGGUGUAGAGGUGAAAUUCGUAGAUAUCAGGAGGAACACCGGUGGCGAAGGCGGCUUUCUGGACGACAACUGACGCUGAGACGCGAAAGCGUGGGGAGCAAACAGGA
rnacentral:rRNA from 1 species